rnacentral:rRNA from 1 species
GACGAACGCUGGCGGCGUGCUUAACACAUGCAAGUCGAACGGAAAGGCCCCUUUGGGGGUCCUCGAGUGGCGAACGGGUGAGUAACACGUGAGUAACCUGCCCUUGACUUCGGGAUAACUUCAGGAAACUGGGGCUAAUACCGGAUAGGAAUCCUUGCUGCAUGGUGGGGGUUGGAAAGCUUCGGCGGUUUUGGAUGGACUCGCGGCUUAUCAGCUUGUUGGUGGGGUAGUGGCUUACCAAGGCUUUGACGGGUAGCCGGCCUGAGAGGGCGACCGGCCACAUUGGGACUGAGAUACGGCCCAGACUCCUACGGGAGGCAGCAGUGGGGAAUAUUGCACAAUGGGCGGAAGCCUGAUGCAGCAACGCCGCGGGCGGGAUGACGGCUUUCGGGUUGUAAACCGCUUUCAGCAGGGGCGAAGCUUGUGGUGACGGUACCUGCAGAAGAAGCACCGGCUAACUACGUG